rnacentral:rRNA from 1 species
GCCAGCAGCCGCGGUAAUACGUAGGGUGCGAGCGUUGUCCGGAAUUACUGGGCGUAAAGAGCUCGUAGGUGGUUUGUUGCGUCGUCUGUGAAAUUCCGGGGCUUAACUUCGGGGUGGCAGGCGAUACGGGCAUAACUAGAGUGCUGUAGGGGAGACUGGAAUUCCUGGUGUAGCGGUGGAAUGCGCAGAUAUCAGGAGGAACACCGAUGGCGAAGGCAGGUCUCUGGGCAGUAACUGACGCUGAGGAGCGAAAGCAUGGGGAGCGAACAGGAUUAGAUACCCUGGUAGUCCAUGCUGUAAACGGUGGGCGUUAGGUGUGGGGACCGGUUUGGUUUCUGUGCCGUAGCUAACGCAUUAAGCGCCCCGCCUGGGGAGUACGGCCGCAAGGCUAAAACUCAAAGGAAUUGACGGGGGCCCGCACAAG